GGAAUGUGUGAAUGCCAGUGUGCUUCAAGCUGGACGUGUAGGCAUACAGGAUAAGAGACAGGCGUACCAGUAAGACUGUGAACCUUCAUGCAUAGUAUGUCUAAGGAGCUGAGGAAACUGAGGAAUCUGGGACCAGCUACUGGAAUUACUCCAGAUAAUAUGGAGUUGCUGAUCAGUCACUAAAAUACAAUUAUGAGAAGAAAUGCUGUGCUGAACUGGGGCGCAAAAUCAAAUCAAUCAAAAUGUCUUUGUGGGAGACAAAUCCUGAAAAAAAUCCUGCUUUGGAAGGAUGGAGACUUUUUUCUUCUUGUUUCCCAGGCUGCUCAGCUCCUCUGGCUGCAUACCAGUAGAUCUGCUGUGUGCUUCUUCUUCAUCAAUAAAAAUCAGCACUGAAAAAAUAGAAACCAGCCAUCUCUUCUGUAGGAGGAAAUAAAAGUUGGUCUUGAAGAACUUAGGUCAUCUCAGACAUCUUUUACCAGAGCAAGGAUGAUCUCUGUUCUAUGUACAAGAUCUAAAGGAUAUAUUUUCCUACUGAAAUUUCUUCCCUCUCCCUUUUUAGACUAUAUGUAAUGUCCUAUGGCAAAUAAAGGCAAUGCAUAUGAUCUGACAGUGAACAGGUUUUUCAGUCCUAUCUUUAUAAUU